GUGGGGAAUAUUGCACAAUGGGCGGAAGCCUGAUGCAGCGACGCCGCGUGGGGGAUGACGGUCUUCGGAUUGUAAACCCCUUUCAGUAGGGACGAAGCGCAAGUGACGGUACCUGCAGAAGAAGCACCGGCCAACUACGUGCCAGCAGCCGCGGUAAUACGUAGGGUGCGAGCGUUGUCCGGAAUUACUGGGCGUAAAGAGCUCGUAGGCGGUUUGUCACGUCGUCUGUGAAAUCCUCCAGCUUAACUGGGGGCGUGCAGGCGAUACGGGCAGACUUGAGUACUACAGGGGAGACUGGAAUUCCUGGUGUAGCGGUGAAAUGCGCAGAUAUCAGGAGGAACACCGGUGGCGAAGGCGGGUCUCUGGGUAGUAACUGACGCUGAGGAGCGAAAGCAUGGGUAGCGAACAGGAUUAGAAACCCUAGUAGUCC
rnacentral:rRNA from 1 species